ACUCCUACGGGAGGCAGCAGUGGGGAAUAUUGGACAAUGGGGAACCGUGCAUCCAGCCAUGCCGCGUGUGUGAAGAAGGCCUUUUGGUUGUAAAGCACUUUAAGCGAGGAGGAGGCUUACCUGGUUAAUACCUGGGAUAAGUGGACGUUACUCGCAGAAUAAGCACCGGCUAACUCUGUGCCAGCAGCCGCGGUAAUACAGAGGGUGCAAGCGUUAAUCGGAUUUACUGGGCGUAAAGCGCGCGUAGGUGGCUAAUUAAGUCAAAUGUGAAAUCCCCGAGCUUAACUUGGAAUUGCAUUCGAUACUGGUUAGCUAGAGUAUGGGAGAGGGAUGGUAGAAUUCCAGGUGUAGCGGUGAAAUGCGUAGAGAUCUGGAGGAAUACCGAUGGCGAAGGCAGCCAUCUGGCCUAAUACUGACACUGAGGUGCGAAAGCAUGGGGAGCAAACAGGAUUAGAUACCCUGGUAGCUACGAGU
rnacentral:rRNA from 1 species